rnacentral:rRNA from 1 species
CGGCGAACGGGUGAGUAAUGCUUGGGAAUCUGCCCAUUAGUGGGGAACAACCAGCCGAAAGGUUGGCUAAUACCGCAUACGCCUACGGGGAAAGCGGGGGAUCGCAAGACCUCGCGCUAAUGGAUGAGCCCAAGUCGGAUUAGCUUGUUGGUAGGGUAACGGCCUACCAAGGCGACAAUCCGUAGCUGGUCUGAGAGGACGACCAGCCACACUGGGACUGAGACACGGCCCAG